rnacentral:rRNA from 1 species
CCUACGGGUGGCAGCAGUGGGGAAUAUUGCACAAUGGGGGAAACCCUGAUGCAGCGACGCCGCGUGAGUGAAGAAGUCAUUCGUUACUGUAAGCUCUAUCAGCCGGGAAGCAAAUGACGGUACCUGAGUAAGCAGCCCCGGCUAACUACGUGCCAGCAGCCGCGGUAAUACGGAGGGGGCAAGCGGUAUCCGGAUUUACUGGGGGUAAAGGGGGAGUAGACGGGGCGCCAAGUCUGGAGUGAAAUGCCGGAGGUUAACUGCGGAACUGCUUUGGAAACUGGCGAACUAGAGUGCGGGAGGGGUAAGCGGAAUUCGUGGUGUAGCGGUGAAAUGCGUAGAUAUUAGGAGGAACACCGGUGGCGAAGGCGGCUUACUGGACCGUAACUGACGUUGAGGCUCGAAAGCAUGGGGAGCAAACAGGAUUAGAUACCCUGGUAGUC